AGAGUUUGAUCCUGGCUCAGAACGAACGCUGGCGGCGUGGAUAAGACAUGCAAGUCGAACGAGAGAAUUGCUAGCUUGCUAAUAAUUCUCUAGUGGCGCACGGGUGAGUAACACGUGAGUAACCUGCCCCCGAGAGCGGGAUAGCCCUGGGAAACUGGGAUUAAUACCGCAUAGAAUCGCAAGAUUAAAGCAGCAAUGCGCUUGGGGAUGGGCUCGCGGCCUAUUAGUUAGUUGGUGAGGUAACGGCUCACCAAGGCGAUGACGGGUAGCCGGUCUGAGAGGAUGUCCGGCCACACUGGAACUGAGACACGGUCCAGACACCUACGGGUGGCAGCAGUCGAGAAUCAUUCACAAUGGGGGAAACCCUGAUGGUGCGACGCCGCGUGGGGGAAUGAAGGUCUUCGGAUUGUAAACCCCUGUCAUGUGGGAGCAAAUUAAAAAGAUAGUACCACAAGAGGAAGAGACGGCUAACUCUGUGCCAGCAGCCGCGGUAAUACAGAGGUCUCAAGCGUUGUUCGGAAUCACUGGGCGUAAAGCGUGCGUAGGCUGUUUCGUAAGUCGUGUGUGAAAGGCGCGGGCUCAACCCGCGGACGGCACAUGAUACUGCGAGACUAGAGUAAUGGAGGGGGAACCGGAAUUCUCGGUGUAGCAGUGAAAUGCGUAGAUAUCGAGAGGAACACUCGUGGCGAAGGCGGGUUCCUGGACAUUAACUGACGCUGAGGCACGAAGGCCAGGGGAGCGAAAGGGAUUAGAUACCCCUGUAGUCCUGGCAGUAAACGGUGCACGCUUGGUGUGCGGGGAAUCGUCGGUGCCGCAGCAAACGCAAUAAGCACUCCACCUGGGGAGUACGACCGCAAGGUUGAAACUCAAAGGAAUUGACGGGGACCCGCACAAGCGGUGGAGCAUGUGGUUUAGUUCGAAGCAACGCGAAGAACCUUACCUGAACUUGACAUCCCGAUGACCAUCUAUGUAAUGUAGACUUUCUUCGGAACAUUGGAGACAGGUGGUGCAUGGUUGUCGUCAGCUCGUGUCGUGAGAUGUUGGGUUAAGUCCCGCAACGAGCGCAACCCUUAUCGUUAGUAGCCAUCAUUAAGUUGGGCACUCUAGCGAGACUGCCGUGGAUAACACGGAGGAAGGUGGGGAUGACGUCAAAUCAUCAUGCCCCUUAUGUUCAGGGCUACACACGUGCUACAAUGGCUGUCACAAAGUGAAGCGAACCUGCGAAGGCAAGCAAAGCACAUAAAGGCAGUCCCAGUUCGGAUUGUAGUCUGCAACUCGACUACAUGAAGUUGGAAUCGCUAGUAUCGCGAAUCAGAAUGUCGCGGUGAAUACAAGCCCGGGUCUUGCACACACCGCCCGUCA
rnacentral:rRNA from 1 species